CAGUCGCCGCGGUAAUACGAAGGGUGCAAGCGUUAAUCGGAAUUACUGGGCGUAAAGCGUGCGUAGGUGGUGGUUUAAGUCCGUUGUGAAAGCCCUGGGCUCAACCUGGGAAUUGCAGUGGAUACUGGGUCACUAGAGUGUGGUAGAGGAUAGUGGAAUUUCCGGUGUAGCAGUGAAAUGCGUAGAGAUCGGAAGGAACAUCUGUGGCGGAGGCGACUAUCUGGGCCAACACUGACACUGAGGCACGAAAGCGUGGGGAGCAAACAGGAUUAGAUACCCCAGUAGUCCCUGUCUCUUAUAC
rnacentral:rRNA from 1 species